rnacentral:rRNA from 1 species
CAGCCCUAAACGAUGCGCGUUAGGUGUAUCGGUGACCACGAGUCACCGAGGUGCCGAAGGGAAACCGUGAAACGUGCCGCCUGGGAAGUACGGUCGCAAGGCUGAAACUUAAAGGAAUUGGCGGGGGGAGCACCACAACGGGUGGAGCCUGCGGUUUAAUUGGACUCAACGCCGGGAAGCUUACCGGAUAAGACAGCGGAAUGAUUGCCGGGCUGAAGACCCUGCAUGACCAGCUGAGAGGUGGUGCAUGGCGUCAGUUGACU